CGUGCGAGUCUUUGCAGUAAUGCAAGGCAUACGGCUCAGUAACACGUAGUCAACCUACCCUAUGGACGAGAAUAAUCCCGGGAAACUGAGCAUAAUUCUUGAUAGAUCAUAAUGCCUGGAAUGGUUUAUGGUUAAAAUGAUUCGUCGCCAUAGGAUGGGACUGCGGCCUAUCAGCUUGUUGGUGAGGUAAUGGCCCACCAAGGCGAUUACAGGUACGGGCUCUGAGAGGAGAAGCCCGGAGAUGGGUACUGAGACACGGACCCAGGCCCUGUGGGGCGCAGCAGGCGAGAAAACUUUGCAAUGUGCGAAAGCACGACAAGGUUAAUCCGAGUGAUUUCUGCUAAAGAAAUCUUUUGCCAGUCGUAAAACCGCUGGUGAAUAAGGGGUGGGCAAGUUCUGGUGUCAGCCGCCGCGGUAAAACCAGCACCUCAAGUGGUCAGGAUGAUUAUUGGGCCUAAAGCAUCCGUAGCCUGCUUUGUAAGUUUUCGGUUAAAUCCAUGUGCUCAACGCAUGGGCUGCCGAAAAUACUGCAUAGCUAGGGAGUGGGAGAGGUAGACGGUACUCAGUAGGUAGGGGUAAAAUCCUUUGAUCUAUUGAUGACCACCUGUGGCGAAGGCGGUCUACCAGAACACGUUCGACGGUGAGGGAUGAAAGCUGGGGGAGCAAAC
rnacentral:rRNA from 1 species